rnacentral:snRNA from 1 species
GUGCCCUCUUCGGCAGCACAUAUACUACAAUUGGAACGACACAGAGAUUAGCAUGGCCCCUGCGCAAGGAUGACACGCAAAUUCCUGAAGCGUUCCAUAUUUAA